ACAUUAUUAUUUUAUUACAUUAUUAUUAUAUUUUUUUUUUUUUUUUUUAAUGUUGUUGUUUCGGUAAAAACAAAACUAUAAAAUUAUUUAUUGUCCUUUUAUAAAAAAAUUAAUUUUAUUAAUAUUUCUUUUUGUUUAUAUGUACUUUUUUUUUUUUUUUUUUUUUUAUAUACAUCAUUUGCAUUUUUCAGGUUUUUCAUAUUUUAUAAUAAAUUUAAAAUCAUUUUAAAAUAGAUAAAAUGUAUCAAAGAUAUACGUUUUUAUUAUAACAUAAGUAUAUUAAAGCCUUUUUUUCAUUCUUUUUUUUUAUAAGUUAACAUUAAAAAAAUUAACUUUUUAAUUUUUUCUAAAUAUAAAAAAAACUAAAAGUAUAUUUUUAUUUACUUAUAAAAACUAUUUGAAAUAAAAAUUUUGAAAUAGAAACCCACAUAUUGGUUUAGGUAUAUAUAGUUAGAUAUAUAACUAAGCUGUUAGAUAAAUAAUUAGUUAGGUAGUUAGAUAGAUGACUAAUUAAUUACAUAAAUAGAGUGAAUAAAAAUUAUUGAAAAUAAAUAAGCAAUAAACUGUUAAUAAUAUAUAGUGCUCCUAAAAAAAAAAACAAAAAAAAAAAAAACGCAGAGACAAAAAAAUGACUAAAAUCAAUAUUAAAAAUGAGAAAAACAUGUAUUUAAUGGAUACAUUCAAAUUAUAUAACCCAGAUAGAGAAAAUACCGUAUCAAUUGUUAACGAAAAUGAUUAUGAAUGUCUACCACACUCCAUUUAUGUAGAUCGAAGAAAUGUUGAUAUAUUUAAUGUUGAUGUGGCAAAGUAUCAAAAGAGCGAAUACAAAAGAAUUUUUAAUUUAAAUUCACCACAAGUUAUAAACGAACCAAAAUUUGCUGCAGAACCAUCAUACGUCGAAAAAUCAUCAGAUACUGAAAGUGUAAAAAAUGAAAGUGACGAUGACAAUUUAUUGGUUCCAAAAAUAUACUUAAUUUUGAGUUUUUUUUUACCCUUUAUAGGUUUGUUUAAAAAAAAAAUAAUAAUUGAAUAUGUGCGUUAUGUACACACAUUGUUUUGCGUUGUAUAUACAUAUAUAUAUAUAUAUCUACUAUUUAUGUGUUGUGUAAGUACUACAAAUGUGACGUACACAUGUAUAUAAUUUUUUUUUUUUUUUAAUAUACAUUUAU
ensembl:lncRNA